GACGAACGCUGGCGGCGUGCUUAACACAUGCAAGUCGAAUGGAAAGGCCCAGCUUGCUGGGUACUCGAGUGGCGAACGGGUGAGUAACACGUGGGUGAUCUGCCCUGGACUCUGGGAUAAGCCUGGGAAACUGGGUCUAAUACCGGAUAUGACCUUACAUCGCAUGGUGUUUGGUGGAAAGCUUUUGCGGUUCAGGAUGGGCCCGCGGCCUAUCAGCUUGUUGGUGGGGUAAUGGCCUACCAAGGCGACGACGGGUAGCCGACCUGAGAGGGUGAUCGGCCACACUGGGACUGAGACACGGCCCAGACUCCUACGGGAGGCAGCAGUGGGGAAUAUUGCACAAUGGGCGCAAGCCUGAUGCAGCGACGCCGCGUGAGGGAUGACGGCCUUCGGGUUGUAAACCUCUUUCACCAGGGACGAAGCGUGAGUGACGGUACCUGGAGAAGAAGCACCGGCCAACUACGUG
rnacentral:rRNA from 1 species